rnacentral:lncRNA from 10 species
CAUUCUUGUAAGAUGCGUUUAUUCAUCGUGUAAUCACCAGUUCCCUGUAGUGGGGGCGUGGAUGGAGUGUCAGAGGCUCCUGCUGGUCUUUAGGGUGUCUGGCCUCCAGGAAUCCUAGAGGUAGUAUUUGGAGAGAUUUUUAAAAGCUUUGUUUCUGUGACCAGCAAAACCUGGAUUUGACACUGAGGUCAGCCCGUUUCAGCCAGUGACGUAACCUGUCUUUUUGCCCCAGUAAAUUGGGAACUACAGCACUCGAUGUUAGAGUUGUCGUGAAGAUUAAAGAAGGUGACGACUGGACAACUCCCAGCCCAAUACCUGAAACUGUACCAGCACCCAGUGAGCACUGCUAUUCCUGUGACUGCUGCACAUUUGCCUUAUCUCAGCAGUAUGCCUGUGUCACUUUUUUGGCACUCUUUUCUCAUGGGUACAUUCAGAGAAGAGGAAUGUUUGUUCACUGGGU